UCGAGAAUUUUGGGCAAUGGGCGAAAGCCUGACCCAGCAACGCCGCGUGAAGGAUGAAGUAUUUCGGUAUGUAAACUUCGAAAGAAUAGGAAGAAUAAAUGACGGUACUAUUUAUAAGGUCCGGCUAACUACGUGCCAGCAGCCGCGGUAAUACGUAGGGACCAAGCGUUGUUCGGAUUUACUGGGCGUAAAGGGCGCGUAGGCGGCAAUUCAAGUCAUCUGUGAAAUCUCCGGGCUUAACUCGGAACGGCCAAGUGAAACUGUCAUGCUAGAGUGCAGAAGGGGCAAUCGGAAUUCUUGGUGUAGCGGUGAAAUGCGUAGAUAUCAAGAGGAACACCUGAGGUGAAGACGGGUUGCUGGGCUGACACUGACGCUGAGGCGCGAAAGCCAGGGGAGCAAACGGGAUUAGAUACCCCCGUAGUCCCUGAGCGGGCUGGCAAGGCGCAU
rnacentral:rRNA from 1 species